rnacentral:rRNA from 1 species
CGAAAGCAGGUCAUAGUGAUCCGGUGGUUCUGAAUGGAAGGGCCAUCGCUCAACGGAUAAAAGGUACUCCGGGGAUAACAGGCUGAUACCGCCCAAGAGUUCAUAUCGACGGCGGUGUUUGGCACCUCGAUGUCGGCUCAUCACAUCCUGGGGCUGAAGUAGGUCCCAAGGGUAUGGCUGUUCGCCAUUUAAAGUGGUACGCGAGCUGGGUUUAGAACGUCGUGAGACAGUUCGGUCCCUAUCUGCCGUGGGCGCUGGAGAACUGAGGGGGGCUGCUCCUAGUACGAGAGGACCGGAGUGGACGCAUCACUGGUGUUCGGGUUGUCAUGCCAAUGGCACUGCCCGGUAGCUAAAUGCGGAAGAGAUAAGUGCUGAAAGCAUCUAAGCACGAAACUUGCC